rnacentral:lncRNA from 1 species
CGCGGCGCCUGCGCGCCGGGGACCUUCCCGGGGCUCCGGGCCUGCGUCCCCGGGAGCCGCGUCUCACCUUGGGAGAGGCCAAGUGGCCCCGCCUUCUGAAGAGCUCUAGAGAAGCCCGAGUUAAUGGCUCUUAGGAGAGCUUGAAAACUGUUUUAAUAAGAGGAUGUGGCAUUAGAGGAGAGUGGCAGUGGAAAGGACAGUGCCUCUUAAAGCAGUCUUUUGAAUGUUGGCUGCUGGAUUUAACAUUUGGAGGUGGGAGCAUCCUGCCCCACUGAAUCCCUGAGGCUACCCCGCAGCCCCGCGCGGUGUAGCGAGCUGAAUGGGUUACCGCAGCGCCUUCCUUGGCUCUGGGGAUUGGGAGUGGACGUUUAAGAUUGCUUGGUUCUCUUUCUCUGGCUUCAUUAACGAGUUAUUGAUCAGUGACUUGAAAGAAAAACUUGGAUGAAAAAUGUCGUCCGCCCCAGUCGCUGAUGCUAAUUAAAACCAAGGAAAGGAAGGGAGAUGAAAGGCACGUAGAGACGCAAUGUCAGGGCAGCCCGUCUCCUCCACCGCCAGAGCAGGUGGCCUUGCUGCCGCUCACAGAGCAGGAAACGCCCCCCGCAAAGCCUCUGCUGCACAGGGGAGGAAGGAAUGGGCUGUGCAGAGUGGGCCAGCAUUCUGGAACCAGGGACAACUGAAGUUUCUGUACAGGAAUACCAGUGAGUGGACCAGACAUACAUAAGUGCCUUGUAUCUUCAAGGUAUGUACUAUUAAUAUAAAAAUGAGAAAAUUAUAAAAUGCAGAUAUUUGCUUUUUUU